CAGCAGCCCGGGAAUACGUAGGGUGCGAGCGUUAAUCGGAAUUACUGGGCGUAAAGCGUGCGCAGGCGGUUGUGUAAGACAGGUGUGAAAUCCCCGGGCUUAACCUGGGAACUGCGCUUGUGACUGCACAGCUAGAGUAUGGCAGAGGGGGGUGGAAUUCCACGUGUAGCAGUGAAAUGCGUAGAGAUGUGGAGGAACACCGAUGGCGAAGGCAGCCCCCUGGGCCAAUACUGACGCUCAUGCACGAAAGCGUGGGUAGCAAACAGGAUUAGAUACCCCAGUAGUCCCUGUCUCUUAUACA
rnacentral:rRNA from 1 species